rnacentral:rRNA from 1 species
UCGCCUGUUUAUCAAAAACAUGGUUUCUUGAUAAAUAUAGGAGAUUUAACCUGCCCACUGAAAGUUUUUGAAGGGCCGCAGUAUUUUGACUGUGCAAAGGUAGCAUAAUCAUUAGUCUUUUAAUUAAGGGCUGGAAUGAAUGGUUGGACGAGGUAAAUACUGUCUUAUUUUAAUGUGAAUUUGAAUUUAGAUUUUAAGUAAAAAGACUUAAGUGAAAUUAAGGGACGAGAAGACCCUAUAGAGUUUAAUAUUCGUAGUAUUUAAUUGAGUUAAUAAUUAAUUUUUGAUUAUUAUGAAGUGUAUUUAAUUGGGGUGAUUGGAAAAUAUGAAUAACUUUUCUUUAAUUUAAAUGAUAUUAUUAGUUUAAUGAUCCAUGUAUAAUGAUUAAAAGAUUAAAUUACCUUAGGGAUAACAGCAUAAUUCUUUUUGAGAGUUCAAAUCGAAAGAAGAGAUUGUGACCUCGAUGUUGGAUUAAGAUAAAUUGUGGGUGUAGAUGUUCAAUAAUUAAGUCUGUUCGACUUUUAAAUUCUUACAUGAUCUGAGUUCAAACCGGAGA